GAUGAACGCUGGCGGCGUGCUUAACACAUGCAAGUCGAACGAUGAAGGGGGAGCUUGCUCCUCUGGAUUAGUGGCGAACGGGUGAGUGACACGUGAGCAAUCUGCCCCUGACUCUGGGAUAAGCGCUGGAAACGGCGUCUAAUACCGGAUACGAGCCGAGCAGGCAUCUGCAUCGGUUGGAAAGAACUUCGGUCAGGGAUGAGCUCGCGGCCUAUCAGCUUGUUGGUGAGGUAAUGGCUCACCAAGGCGACGACGGGUAGCCGGCCUGAGAGGGUGACCGGCCACACUGGGACUGAGACACGGCCCAGGCUCCUACGGGAGGCAGCAGUGGGGAAUAUUGCACAAUGGGCGGAAGCCUGAUGCAGCAACGCCGCGUGAGGGACGAGGGCCUUCGGGUUGUAAACCUCUUUUAGCAGGGAAGAAGCGAGAGUGACGGUACCUGCAGAAAAAGCACCGGCUAACUACGUGCCAGCAGCCGCAGUAA
rnacentral:rRNA from 1 species